CAGAAAUAGGGGUACAGUAGGGGUCCAUUUCUGUCCCCCAAGGUACAAUCUACACAAAAGUACCCCAUAGGGCUCAUUAUUGGACCUUAAGGUACAUGUAUGUACCUUUUUGAGGGUCAAAAAGGUACAUAUUUGUUCCCAACCAUUAAAAGGUACAUAUAUGUACCAUUUCUUUUAAUGAAUAAGGUACAAUGUUAAGAGACAGCCUCUGUCAUUUUUUUUUAAUUGUUGUUCUAGACAACUGCUGUAAAUAACCAUUGUAACCAUUGUGUCAAUUUUUGUUUCCUUUAGUUGGGCACAUGGGUCUUGAAGUAGUUUUAGUUUUCUUCUGUUCAUUGACAGUGUGUUUAAUUUAAAAUUUUAAUUAAAAAAAAGUUAAUUUCACUUAUUAAAACUGUGAUAUGAACUCAAAAACUGCAAUUGAUUAACCAUAACUUAAACUGAAUAAAUACUGAAUCCCUCACACAUCCACCUGAAGAAAUGCGCUUUUAUUUUGACACGCGCCCAUCCCCCACAUCUCACGGUCGGAGUUGAGCUUCACAGAGCAGCGCAACAGGAGGACGACACGACAGACAUGAAGAGCAUUAGUUCAGCGCAAACGUUUCCCGCGCAAGUUUGAAUCUCUCUCAGUCAGGGGGGAUUGACUGACAGACGAACGUUACUCUACCAAACGGUUAUUCACUUAUAAAACCUUUUAAAGUUUAGCGCUAACGUUUCCAGCGCAAGUUUGAAUCUCUCUCAGUCAGGGGGGAUUGACUGACAGACGAACGUUACUCUACCGAACGGUUAUUCACUUAUAAAACCUUUUAAAGUUUAGCGCAAAUGUUUCCCGCGCAGGUUUGAAUCUCUCUCAGUCAGGGGGGAGAUUGACUGACAGACUAAUGUUACUCUCUACCAAAUGGCUAUUCACUUAUAAAACCUUUUAAAGUUUAGCGCUAACGUUUCCAGCGCAAGUUUGAAUCUCUCUCAGUCAGGGGGGAGAUUGACUGACAGACUAACGUUACUCUACCAAACGGUUAUUCACUUAUAAAACCUUUUAAAGUUUAGCGCAAAUGUUUCCUGUGCAAGUUUGAAUCUCUCUCAGUCAGGGGGGAGAUUGACUGACAGACUAACGUUACUCUUUACCAAACGGUUAUUCACUUAUAAAACCUUUUAAAGUUUAGCGCAAAUGUUUCCCGCGCAGGUUUGAAUCUCUCUCAGUCAGGGGGGAGAUUGACUGACAGACUAAUGUUACUCUCUACCAAAUGGCUAUUCACUUAUAAAACCUUUUAAAGUUUAGCGCUAACGUUUCCAGCGCAAGUUUGAAUCUCUCUCAGUCAGGGGGGAGAUUGACUGACAGACUAACGUUACUCUACCAAACGGUUAUUCACUUAUAAAACCUUUUAAAGUUUAGCGCAAAUGUUUCCUGUUCAAGUUUGAAUCUCUCUCAGUCAGGGGGGAGAUUGACUGACAGACUAACGUUACUCUUUACCAAACGGUUAUUCACUUAUAAAACCUUUUAAAGUUUAGCGCAAAUGUUUCCUGUGCAAGUUUGAAUCUCUCUCAGUCAGGGGGGAGAUUGACUGACAGACUAACGUUACUCUCUACCAAAUGGCUAUUCACUUAUAAAACCUUUUAAAGUUUAGCGCUAACGUUUCCAGCGCAAGUUUGAAUCUCUCUCAGUCAGUCAGGGGGGAGAUUGACUGACUGACUGACUACUCGCCACCAAACUGUCAUUUACCCAGAAACCUUUUAAAGUUUAGCACAAACGUUUCCUGCACAAGUUUGAAUCUCUCUGUCAGGGGGGAGAUUGACUGACUGACUGACUACUCGGCACCAAACAGUUAUUUACCCAGAAACCUUUUAAAGUUUAGCACAAGCGUUUCCCGCGCAAGUUUGGAUCUUUACCAUUCAGGAGACUGGCUGACUGUUCUCAACUAACCAUCAUUCACAUGCAAAAACUUUAAAGAUAAGUAUGAAAGUGCCCAGAGCAGUUUUCGAUGUUUACCAUUAAGGAGGCUGACUGACUAUCAUCUACCACCCGUCAUUAACACAACAAAAACUAAAGAAAUAUUACUCCAUAUGGACCUAUUCAUUUACUCAUUAUGCUGUGAGUACACCACAGUUUUAUCAGUGAAAAAAAUUAUAUUUGUGUGUUUUCUCACUGCUUGGCAUGGACAGAUGUGGCCCUGUUAAAAAUGUUUAAAUGUUGUUUGGUUUAAGGAACAGCACACUGAUUUUGUUAUAAAAUAUUCCUGUUUGGACAGUCUGUUAAAGUCAUAAAGGAAUGGUUGAUAUAUUUCAUAAGGAAAGUGUAAAUGUAAUAUUAGUUUUUAAUGUUGUGAAUUUGGACUGAACAACACACUUCUGUUUUAAAUCUAAACCUUUUGUAAAAUAAAUGAUUAAUCAAUAAA